rnacentral:rRNA from 1 species
AGCGAACGCUGGCGGCAGGCCUAACACAUGCAAGUCGAGCGCCCUUUCGGGGGAGCGGCGGCCGGGUGAGUAACGCGUGGGAAUAUGCCCUUCUCUACGGAAUAGCCUCGGGAAACUGAGAGUAAUACCGUAUACGCCCUAUGGGGGAAAGAUUUAUCGGGGAAGGAUUAGCCCGCGUUGGAUUAGGUAGUUGGUGGGGUAAUGGCCUACCAAGCCGACGAUCCAUAGCUGGUUUGAGAGGAUGAUCAGCCACACUGGGACUGAGACACGGCCCAGACUCCUACGCGAGGCAGGAGUGGGGAAUCUUAGACCAUGGAGGCAACCCUGAUCCAGCCAUGCCGCGUGAGUGAUGAAGGCCUUAGGGUUGUAAAGCUCUUUCAGCUGGGAAGAUAAUGACGGUACCAGCAGAAGAAGCCCCGGCUAACUCCGUG